GUGUUUUUUAAACACACCAUGUUUCUCUCUUAGUCUCACUUUAUAACACACUAUUUAUUUCCCUCUUCAACCGUUCGUUCUUCACCUUCCUUUAAGCUUCUAUUUCAUCUCACCCUUACCGCUGCCAAACACUCUCAUCGGAGAAGUUUUUACCCUCGCCACUGCCAAUAACAACCUUCGACUCCGAAUGGUGAUGCAAGGAAAUUGAGGAAAUUUGUAGAAUUUAGAAAGACUACUCUAAAAUCUCCCCAGAAAGUCGUGUAUGGUGAUGAAUUAUGGGGACCUGAGAGGAGUUUUCGUCAGGGUAUUUGGCCCAUAAGGGAGUAUUUGGGAGUCCCGUCUUCGCCUUAUUUUCCUGUCUAUACUCAAGAACAAGGACCGCCUCCAAUGGUGCAGGAGCGUUUCCAAAUUGUUAUAAGUCAGGGUUGCAAAGAAGCAUAGUUAUCAAAAGUUUGAGCAUUGGAGAAGUCAUUGUUCUUCGGGAGUUUCUAAUAUCUAACGUUGAACAGAGACACCAUGUUUUGGCCCUACAUCAGUUUCUUCACUGUCACGGUAGCUUAUUUGAAAUUUUUUUGGUUUCGAGAAUAUCACAAUCACAUGAUUUUGUUAUACUAAACUUUUUUGCUUUUCUUAUAUUCAGAUCUAAGAUGUGGAAUUUCCAAAUAUUGUAUGUAGGGGUGGCAAUAAAAUCUAUUAAGAGAAUAUCCAUCCAAUCCAUCCAAUAAUUUAUCCAUCCAAUUCAUCCAUUAACCAAAAAAACAAAUUUAAUGGAUUGGUUCAAUCCAUCCAUCAAACUACAUGGAUGGAUUCAAUCCAUCCAUCUCAUUUUAUAAAUCCAAUGGAUUUUAGUUUAUUACUUAUUAAAUUACUUUUUUAUUAAAAAACAUGAAAAAUUUAAAAUUAAACAAUUUUUUAACAUUUUUGUUUCUCAUAAUAUUCAC